rnacentral:lncRNA from 1 species
AACGGCCGCAGUAUCCUGACCAUGUAAGGUAGCAUAAUCACUUGUUCCCUAAAUAGGGACUUGUAUGAAUGGCCACGCGAGGGUUCAGCUGUCUCUUACUUCUUUUUUUUUUUUUUUGAGACGGAGUCUCACUCUGUUGCCCAGGCUGGAGUGCAGUGGCGUGAUCUCAGCUCACUGCAAGCUCCGCCUCCCAGGUUCACACCAUUCUGCCUCAGCCUCCCGAGUAGCUGGGACUACAGGUGCCCGCCACCACACCCAGCUAAUUUUUUUUUUUUUUGUAUUUUUAGUAGAGAUGGGGUUUCACCAUGUUAGCCAGGAUGGUCUCGAUCUCCUGACCUCAUGAUCCGCCUGCCUCGGCCUCCCAAAGUGCUGGGAUUACAGGCAUGAGCCACCGUGCCCGGCCAUCUCUUACUUUUAAUCAGUGAAAUUGACGUAUCCAUGAAGAGGCGGAUAUAAGACGAGAAGACCCUAUGGAGCUUUAAUUUAAACAGGGUUUGUUAAGAUGGCAGAGCCCAGCAAUUGCAUAAAACUUAAAACUUUAUUUAUUUAUUUAUUUAUUUAUUUAUUUAUUUAUUUAUUUAUUUUUGAGACAGAGUCUCACUCUGUAGCCCAGGCUGGAGUGCAGUGGCGCAAUCUUGGCUCACUGCAAGCUCCACCUCCUGAGUUCACACCAUUCUCCUGCCUCAGCCUCCCAAGUAGCUGGGACUACAGGCACCCACCACCAUGCCUGGCUAAUUUUUCGAUAUUUUUUAGUGGAGAUGGGGUUUCACCAUGUUUUGCCAGGAUGAUCUCGAUCUCCUGACCUCGUGAUCCACCCACCUCGGCCUCCCAAAGUGCUGGGAUUACAGGCAUGAGCCACUGCGCCCGGCCAACUUAAAACUUAUAAUCAGAGGUUCAACUCCUCUUCUUAACA